rnacentral:rRNA from 1 species
AGAGUUUGAUCCUGGCUCAGGACGAACGCUGGCGGCGUGCUUAACACAUGCAAGUGGAGCGACGAACCGGGGCUUGCCCCGGGGCAGAGCCGCGAACGGGUGAGUAACACGUGGGUCACCUGCCUCAAUGACCGGGACAACCCGAGGAAACUCGGGCUAAUACCGGAUGUGCUCUUCGGAGGAAAGGUAGCUUCGGCUUCCGCAUUGAGAUGGGCCCGCGGCGCAUUAGCUUGUUGGUGGGGUAACGGCCUACCAAGGCGACGAUGCGUAGCUGGUCUGAGAGGACGAUCAGCCACACUGGGACUGAGACACGGCCCAGACUCCUACGGGAGGCAGCAGUGGGGAAUCUUGCGCAAUGCGCGAAAGCGUGACGCAGCAACGCCGCGUGGGGGAAGAAGGCCUUCGGGUUGUAAACCUCUUUCAGUUGGGACGAAGCUUCUACGGUGAAUAGCCGUAUGGAGUGACGGUACCUUCACAAGAAGCCCCGGCUAACUACGUGCCAGCAGCCGCGGUAAUACGUAGGGGGCAAGCGUUGUCCGGAAUCAUUGGGCGUAAAGCGCGUGUAGGCGGCUCGGUAAGUCCGCUCUGAAAGUCCAGGGCUCAACCCUGGGAUGCGGGUGGAUACUGCCGAGCUCGAGUCCGGAAGAGGCGAGUGGAAUUCCUGGUGUAGCGGUGAAAUGCGCAGAUAUCAGGAGGAACACCAAUGGCGAAGGCAGCUCGCUGGGACGUGACUGACGCUGAGCGCGAAAGCGUGGGGAGCAAACAGGAUUAGAUACCCUAGUAGUCC